rnacentral:misc_RNA from 1 species
GUGAAUCAUCAAAUCUUUGAACGCACAUUGCACUCUCCGGUUUUCCGGGAGAGUAUGCCUGUUUGAGGGUCAGCCUAAAAAAAAUCGACAUUGUUGCUGUUAUUUAAUGGUGACUUUCGUCGGAGAUUGGGUUCUCUUAAACCUUUUUUUUUUUUGGUUUAUGCGACUUAAACUUUUUAUUCACGUUUCCCUGAACGUUUCUUAGCUUUUUAUUUUUUAUAUGUUUAGGGUUUUUCGAUCUUUUAUUUUAC